rnacentral:rRNA from 1 species
GAAUUCGCCCUUAGAGUUUGAUCCUGGCUCAGGACUAACGCUGGCGGCGUGCCUAAUACAUGCAAGUCGAACGGUCGUGCGUUUGUAGCAAUAUGGACGUACGAUAGUGGCGAACGGGUGAGUAACACGUGGAAAACCUACCCUCGAGCGGGGGAUAACUCCGGGAAACUGGGGCUAAUACCGCAUGACAUCCCAACCUGGCAUCGGGAGGGGAUCAAAGCCGAAAGGCACUUGAGGAUGGUUCCGCGGCCUAUCAGCUAGUUGGCGGGGUAACGGCCCACCAAGGCGACGACGGGUAGCCGGCCUGAGAGGGCGAUCGGCCACAAGGGGACUGAGACACGGCCCCUACUCCUACGGGAGGCAGCAGUAGGGAAUUUUGCUCAAUGGGGGAAACCCUGAAGCAGCGACGCCGCGUGGGCGACGAAAUCCUUCGGGAUGUAAAGCCCUUUUAACCGGGACGAAAUACAUGACGGUACCGGUGGAAUAAGCCUCGGCUAACUCCGUGCCAACAGCCGCGGUAAGACGGGGGAGGCAAGCGUUGUCCGGAAUCACUGGGUGUAAAGGGCGUGUAGGCGGGCCGGCUAGUCGGUUGUUAAAUCUCUCCGCUCAACGGAGAAGCUGCGGCCGAUACUUCCGGUCUUGAGUGCGGCAGGGGAGGAUGGAAUUCCUGGUGUAGCGGUGAAAUGCGUAGAUAUCAGGAGGAACACCGGUGGCGAAGGCGGUCCUCUGGGCCUGCACUGACGCUGAGUGCGCGAAAGCUGGGGUAGCAAACAGAAUUAGAUACUCUGGUAGUCCCAGCCCUA